GGGCCCGCACAAGCGGUGGAGUAUGUGGUUUAAUUCGAUGCAACGCGAAGAACCUUACCAGGGUUUGACAUCCUGCGAAUCUCUUGGAAACAGGAAAGUGCCUUCGGGAGCGCAGUGACAGGUGGUGCAUGGCUGUCGUCAGCUCGUGUCGUGAGAUGUUGGGUUAAGUCCCGCAACGAGCGCAACCCACGUCUUUAGUUGCCAGCAUUUAGUUGGGCACUCUAGAGAGACCGCCGGUGAUAAACCGGAGAAGGUGUGGAUGACGUCAAGUCAUCAUGCCCCUUACAUCUGGGCUACACACGUACUACAAUGCUACGGACAAAGGGCUGCAAGUUCGCGAGGACAAGCAAAUCCCAUAAACGUGGCUC
rnacentral:rRNA from 1 species